rnacentral:rRNA from 1 species
CCCGGUGGCUAUGGCGGGGGUGCCAUACCCGUUCCCAUCCCGAACACGGAAGUCAAGCCCCCUUGCGCCGAUGGUACUGCGCCCUUAAGACGCGGGAGAGUAGGCAGCCGCCGGGC